rnacentral:rRNA from 1 species
AUACGGAGGUAGCAAGCGUUAUUCGGAAUCACUGGGCGUAAAGGACGCGUAGGCGGGUUUGUAAGUCAGGUGUGAAAUCCUACAGCUCAACUGUAGAACUGCACUUGAAACUACAGACCUAGAGUAUGGAAGGGGCAGAUGGAAUUAGUGGUGUAGGGGUAAAAUCCGUAGAUAUCACUAGGAAUACCGAAAGCGAAGGCGAUCUGCUGGGACAUUACUGACGCUGAGGCGUGAAAGCGUGGGGAGCAAACAGGAUUAGAUACCCUAGUAGUCC